GAUCAUAUACGUUCUCUGCAUAUACGUUCUCUGAUGUGACAACAGCUUGAUAACUAGACAGAGUUUCCAAAACUACUUUUUAUGUUAGAAGUAGUGGAUUUUAAAUUUAAUAUUUUAAUAAAAAAACAUAGUUUGAUAGACCGUGUAAUAAUUUUGAAAUUUUUGUUUAGCGCGAUACUGUCUUAAAUAAUUUUGCAUUAAUCAGAACAAAAUGCUAAGGGAAUAGAUAUGUACCAAUUGUGGAAAAGUGUCAACCCUGUUCUUCGCUAACUUCGCAGGCCGGUUGGAAACUUCUUCUCACAGUACACAAGAGUCGUCAUUAGCUUAUUACAUAUCGCAGCGACAGCGUGAUUUCGACCAUUCCAAAAACGUGCAUUUGUGAUAGCUUUUAAAAGCGAUUAAUAUUAAGCAAUUAUACUUAAACACUUGUUAAAAAAACACCGGUUGCCAAAAUGAGUGAUGUACGUAAAGCCCUCGCAAUAAAAUUAUACGAAAUCAAUGCUUUCAAAUUCGGCGAUUUCAAGAUGAAAGUGGGCAUUAAUUCACCUGUAUACUUUGAUUUACGCGUAAUUGUUAGCUAUCCAGAAGUGAUGAAAACAGUUUCGGAAUUGAUUGCCGCCCAUAUUAAGGAGCACCAAUUGACGGCGAAACAUGUUUGUGGUGUACCAUAUACAGCUCUUCCAUUGGCCACUUUGGUGUCCGUACAGCAAAGUACCCCCAUGCUGGUGCGACGUAAAGAAGCCAAAGAUUAUGGCACAAAAAAGUUAAUUGAAGGUCUCUAUAAUGCGGGCGACACGUGUCUUAUUGUGGAAGAUGUCGUAACAUCUGGUUCAAGUGUUUUGGACACAGUACGUGAUUUGCAAAGGGAAGGUAUUGUUGUCACCGAUGCUGUCGUAGUUGUUGAUCGUGAGCAAGGUGGAGCGGUGAAUAUUGAAAAGCAGCAGGUGCGCAUGCACUCCUUAUUUACGCUGUCUUUUCUACUUAACACGUUGCAUGAAGCAGGAAAGAUUCAAGGUGACACUGUGGAUGCGGUUGCAAAAUAUAUUGCUGCUUAUCAAAUUAAAGGCGAUGGUUCGUUCGUAAAUCCACAGAGUAAAAUUGUUGCUAAUGAAUUCUCAAGGACUAAACUUUCAUUCGAGCAUCGCGCCACUUUAGCGAAAUCUAAGCUGGCCAAGCAGCUUUUCCAUUUGAUGGCAAGCAAGAAGACUAAUCUUUGCCUGGCCGCUGACCUCACUAAAUCUGAAGAGAUUCUUAAUAUCGCGGAAAUUUGUGGGCCUUAUAUUUGCGUCCUGAAAACGCACAUUGACAUUGUAGAGGAUUUCGAUGAAGCAUUCAUACAGAAGUUACGCAGCUUGGCUGAUAAACACAAUUUCUUAAUAAUGGAAGAUCGUAAAUUUGCCGAUAUUGGAAAUACGGUAUCCCUACAAUAUGGCAAAGGUGUAUAUAAGAUCGCCAAUUGGGCGGAUUUGGUUACAGCCCACGCACUGUCAGGUCGCAGCAUAUUGCAAGGACUUAAAGCCGGUCUUGCUGACAGUGUAUCAGAUGGAAGAAAACAUGGCGUAUUCUUACUUGCCGAAUUAUCUAACACAGGCAGUUUAAUCGAUGCUAAGUAUUCAGAAGCGGCCAGCAAGAUUGCAACUGAAGGUGCGGACAUUGAUUUUGUUGCCGGAGUUGUGUGUCAGUCGGCCAGUUGCUUCCAUUUUCCUGGUUUAGUUCAGCUUACACCUGGUGUAAAAAUCGAUGAUACUGUCGACCAGCUGGGACAGCAAUAUCAAACGCCCGAACAUGUAGUGCAGGAACGUGGUGCCGAUAUCGGUGUUGUAGGACGUGGAAUUUUACAAGCUAAGUGUGUUGAAAAAGCAGCAGUUCUAUACCGUGAUCGCCUUUGGGCAGCAUAUACAGAUCGCAUUGCGAAAUAGGAACAUAGGAUUAUAUUCUAUAUUAAAUACUUUUCGUGUAAUUAUGGCAAGGAUGUGAAAUGAAUGUAUUUGGUUUUGCACUUAUGAUAGUGUAUAAUCGCCAAAAUCAUAAAUCAAUCAUUGGAAUUUAUGUGACAAUAUUAAAAAUUAUGGAGAAUUUUUAAGUAAUUUUUCAUAAAGAGUAAAAGGAGGAGAGUAAAGGGAGAGUCCAAGGAGCAACGUGUGAAUAGUGGCUUAAAGUUGGCAAAGCUUGUAUUUAAAAAUAUGGAUUUAUUCAAAUAAAACACAGGCAGGCUAUUGUACAAAUAGUUUUUGUUCAAUUUAAAGAGAAGCACAAUACAAUGAUAAUAUUACAAUACGUAUCCGAGUUUUAGUUAAUAUGUUUAAAUAAGUUUGUAUGAUGAGUAGAAUUACUUCUCCAUAGGAAAAUUAAUCCACUAGUUAAAUACCAUAUGUUAGACCAAAUUUUAAUACGACGCUAAUGUACUCAAAGCAUGACCAGUAUCCCCAUUCACGUCAUCCUGUAAAGAAUAAAAGAAGAAAAAUGGCAAAUGUACACAUUUUUACAUAAAUUAAAAGCCUGUAUUUAUUUGUUCGUGAAUAAUACUUUAUUUGAUGAAAUCGGUUAUAGCACUUGAAAAUAUAAUUUUCAAAUAUACUAAAUAUAUAUAUAGUAAAAAAGUUGUAAAUAAAAAAUUAAUCCAAACAAUAUCAAAAUGUGAGAUAUUCGCAGAAAAUUUUAAAACAAUACUUUAAAUUUUAACUGUACCUCCGAAAGAAACACAUUUCUUUGCAAAGUCCUUAAUACAAAAGCAAUACAGCACAUAUAAAUACAACAUAUCAUUUUGAAAACUUUUAUAA